rnacentral:rRNA from 1 species
UUUGCUCGGUCUGUUUGGGCCAUAGUUCACAUUGCUUCAAAUCUAUACCCCCCACGAAGUGCACGCAAUAUGUUCGGCAACUGGUUGAGGGGAAUUCAAAAACAAUUUUCUGCACACAUUCUUGUCGGGGCAGCUGCCUUAUGCCGGGCAUUGUGGCUUACCAGGAAUGAUGUGGUUUUUAAUAAUAAAUGUGUUUCAUCUCCUAUGCAGGUUAUUCAUAUAUGUACGCGAUGGCUCCGUACUUGGUCUAUCCUGGAGAGGCCGGAGGACAGGGACCUUUUUAUGAUGGCGUCUAUGCGGCUGGAGCGUUCGGCCAGGGAGGUUUUCUACCCCCAUGGAUGGCGGUGUGAUCUUCGGAUAGGAUCGGCCACGUCAUAG